UACAAUUGUUCUGAUAUUAAAAAAAAAAACCAAAAAAACCCCAAAAAACAACAGGAACAACAAAAACUGUACUCCCAGCAUUUCCAAAUGGACAACAUCCAGUCAUGCUAUCAUGGAAAAAUUAAUAACAAAGAGAAUAGCAGAACAUUGGACCUAUCGCUGCUCUUUUUACUUAGUAAGUUUAUGACUUCCUGAUUCAUUACAUAUUUAUUAAAUUUAGCCUUCAAUCUAUAGUUGGGUCUGCUGGUCUAGAAGUCAGACUGGUUAGAGGCAUGGAGCUAGAUGCUGUUGCCAAUUCUGCCAAUAGUCUGUUAUAUGGUUUUGGACAAAUCUUUAAAUUUCUUUGCAUUUUCUCUCUGAACUUCUGAUUUUCUCCAGCAUCUUUAUAAUCAAUUCUUGCCUGGUUUUGACCAUAUAUGAACAUGUAAUGCCUACCAAAAGAAAUGGAUGGGGUUUUUUUGGGUUUUAUUUGUUGGCUUUUAGGUGUUUUUUUUAAAUUAUUAUUUGGUUUGUUUGGCCUAUUUUUCAUUUAGGCUUUUGUGUUCUGUUUGUUUUCUUGGGGUUUGUUUUUGUGUCAGGUUUUUUUGGGUUUUUUUGCUUGGUUGUUUGGUAUUGUAUUUGUUUUUUAUCUUAAUUGUAAUAUAAAGACUUUUUGGUUUGAAAUUAGACUGCCUACAAACAUUUUGAGUUCUAAAAAGAGGCUGAGCACUUGGAAGCUACUAGAGUCAUUACUCACAGUGUUCUAACAAAUCUUUUGAUUUCUAUAUGAAACUGAAGAAGUGACAGCAGUGACUGCAAUAAGGCAUUAACAGCGCUGCCUAAAGCUAAUGUUGCUGUUUGUACGGAUGAAGAGGAAUCUGCAAGCACUUGAUGGACUGAAUCAUUGCUCUGUGUGACUCUGCAGAGGAUCAUGUUAAGUAUUUUUAUGUGAAGAUGUUCAGCUGCAGAGCCAGUAGCUUCUCAGUGCUGAACAUUUUUCUUGCAGACAGUAACGAAAAUCGUAAUGGAAGUUAAGCCAAAGGGACCUAGGAAUCUAGGAAGACAACUACAAAAUGGAAAUCUCUGUACAGUGAUAUUUGUAUAUUCUAUGAAAAUGUCCCAGUGUGACAUUACCCAGGAGAUUUGAACAAAAUAGGAACUGUUUUACACUCUGAAACCAUCUUCCAGUCUCCUUUCAUCUACAAGCAAGGGAAGCUUGUAAAUGCCAGUAUCUAACUACUCAAAAACUAGUGUUGAAAAUUUUUGUGUACAAGAAACCACCAAUGCCGGUGUUAAUUAGAGUUUCUAGUCAUUUCUAGAAGGAUUCUCGGUUCUGGUUUUUUUUGGCUUGCUUGCAAUUUGCAAACUUAUGGAAAGCAAGUCUAAAAGAGGAAGAAAAAGAGGGCUGUUUUGCCUGGUUUUGAUUAUUAAAUUUUUACUAAGCCACUUCCUUCUAGAAGUGAUCUAGCUGUUAUUUAAACAUCUCUGGGUGUUCUAAUAAACUUGUUCUCAAAUAUCAAUUUAAGCCACCUACACUCUAAGUAAAAGCAAUUAAUUAUAUGCAAGAAAGAGAUGAAAAGUUUUUAAUAAACACACUGUUGCCUCAUCAGAGAAAGAAGGGGUUGGUACAUAUCUACUCUGCAGUGCGCAGCACUGAGGAGUUGGGAAAAUGACAGAAUGAUUGUAAGCUAACAUACAUCCUUAGAUACAAAAUAAAGUAUUGGUGGCAUAAUUUCUCUGCUUCAGUGGGCUCUGGGUCAGGGCAUAAGAUUUCACAACAUGACCAAAGAAUUUUAGAGAAAAGGCUGAGAGAGCUGACCUAAAGCAGAGGAGAGCAAGUUAAAGCUCACCCCCAUCCAUGCAAGCCCUGUACAAUUUUUUUCAUGUAUAAAUAAUAACCAUACUGCAUAAAAACUGCAAGAUAGAUCAUCUUUAAUGGCUUAAAACGGCAGCCAAAAAUAGAAUGUUGGGAUUUUUUUUUUUUUUUUAAUCCUUUUAGCACAUUCUAGGACAAAGCCCUUGUCAAGAGAAAUAGACAUUUUUGGACAAGCCAGCACAUUUGUUCCCAUAACCUCAAAUGGAAAUUCCCAACCAUCCGUGAAAUCAAAGGGAAGACAGGUUCCUCCUACAUUAAGACAUUUGUAAUUAUACUGUUAGGGAUCAGCAUUCUCUCUCACUCUUUUAUACUCCUACUCCCCCUAUUCUUUCUUGAGAUCUCUAACCAGGUCUCAUUAGAAGAGAAAAUCAGAGAGGGGAAAAUAGACACAAAAUAUGCAACACGUACUUAAAUUGACUUACAAUAUGAGAAGUCUUUUUAGCUGCACAGACAAGAGAGUUAAUCUGCACAUACUGAACAAAUAAUUUUAAAAAAUCCCAAAAUGUGAAUGCUAAAAAACAAUUUGUAUAUGCACCAAUUAAUGCAGUCAGAAGCCUUAUAACCUGAAACAAUACAUAAGUCUUAUAUCCUCUAGACAGUUACAGCCUGCAUAUAUUCUAUUACAAUUUAAGCAGAUUUCUUUUUUAGUCCAACUUCAGGAGAUAUAUCUAUGAAGGACUCUUCCCUGCCAUCGAAAACUGAAUUUACUCAAUGCUGACAAGACUGUUGCUGUUGAUUACGCUUGAUACACAACAAGCCUUUAACCUUACCUGUCAGACUAAUUGCACUGUGAAAAGGCAGACUGAAGGGCCUUCUGUGCUGUGUUUUAUAUCACCAGGAUGGUUUGGGGGAAGCUGUACUUAUCUCCAGUCAGUGACACACAGAAGUCGUAGCUUCCCUGUACUCACUGAAAAGAAAAGUGUAUUGUGCUACUGCCUACAAGAAGAAUAAAAUAUCAUCUGACCAAAGCUGGGUAAAAUUCAGAAGUGAAAAGGACCAACAAAUCUUAUCAAGAAAAUAAUUUAUCUGUGCAUGAGCUGGCUGAGAAGGAAGUGAGUACAUGGGAAAGAAAAAGCAUUGGGAGGACUCAGAAUGGAGUGAGAACAUAUUUAGACUGAAGGUAGAAAAGUAGCUAUUACCUUGCAUUUGCUCUUCCGCCUGUGUGUGCAUGAGUUAUGCAUGCUACCUUGUGAAUGCCAGGAUCCAUGUGAUUGAAUAUGUCUAAGAAAUGCCAUAACCAGUUUCAAUUUGUGAUCCAGUGUAUGGCAAAAGCAAGGUAACUGUUCCAUUAGUGGGAUCUGAAUGUCCUUUCAAAUCCCUAAGUAUGUGAUAAGAUUUGAAGGGCAUAUGUUGUACAUUUCACAUGGAAAGUUAUGCAGAAUUCUCCUAAGUUUCUGUACAACUAGACUCAAGAAUUUCCAGAAAGUAACCUAAAUUAAUAUCUUUGAAAAGAAGAAAUGCAGACUCAAGGUGUUUGUCAUUCUGUGAAUUAUGGGUAAACAACUUCAGACAGUUCCACAUACAGGAAAACUUUCCUACCUUUUUACUGCCACAACAGACUCAACUGAGCAUGAAAUAAGGGCUACCAGGUAUUUCAGAGAGUACGUGCUCCUUUCUUUCACUUUUCCCCUCACCUUCCCUCCUGCAGUCCUCUCGGGUUUUAUUUUUUUCUUUUAUCAUAAGCACUGCUCUGUCAAUCUGUUCCAACUAAUCUCUGGAUCAGUACAGCUGUAUCUACCAAGGUGUUUACCUCUGAAGCAUUUGCUGAUAAUUUCCAUUUGUAUGGACUGCCCCAGGAAAGACAGAUAUCCUGCACUUCCUGCCAUUCAGAAAUCAGUAUCCUGGAAAGUCUGAAAAUACACAAGAAAACCUUCCAUCUGCUAAAGUUUUUGCCUUUUUGUCAUUUGAUAUGUAAGAUGAAUAAACAGGCUUAACAUGGAAUCAAGUUAAAAUACUAACAUCAAACACAGAAGAGGUGCUUAGGUGUCCAAAUGGGCAAAAAACACACCAGAAGGUUUGUACAGAGUCAAUAGAAAAGUGCAUGGUCUAGCAAAGAUAGGCAAUCAGAACAGGACAAACAGUGUCAGCUCAGCUGUUUGGAAAAUCUUUUCCUCUCCACAGAUAAAAUGAGGGCACGACAAUGUUUCUUCAUAUUUUUAUUACAGGAAUACUCAAAGAUUCUGAGGGAGAUAAGAACCAUACUGUCCUUCCUUUUACACCUGUGUAGCCCAAUUAGACAAGAAAUAGGCAAUUAUUAUGGCUUUACAGAUGGAGGACAGAAGUUCAGUGACAAAAUCAUUGAUUUUUCUCAGUCUGCAGCAGAGGUAAGGCAAAGAACAGUGAUGUCUUGAAUCAAAUAAUAAUUGUAUAAUGCGUUGCCAUCUUCCCCUGCUCUUACAGGAAAAGGAGUAGGCGAUUCAAUUUGAUGUUUCAUCCUUCUGCUUCUUCAUACAACAAAAUUAAUUCCCAUGAUGAAUUUCUGUGUUGAUACUCCUACUUCAGGUCUGAUACUAUUUCAGUUUAAUCAUUCCUCCUCUAUGUGAUUUUAUUAGCUGAAGGUGUUUGUGAAAUAUCUUAUAAAUGCAUUCAGUAUUCAAAGAUCACUCCUUUGUCUUUCCUUUGCCUUUGUAUUAUCAACUCACUUCAGGAUACAAUUUGAAUAUGGAUGCUGUGAUUAAUUUUCAUAGCAUGAUGAAGGAGUAAGUUUUCUAAAGUGUUAAGUGACUUCUUAUUGGGACACAGAUACUUUAAAUCUUUCACUGUGUUAUGAAAACAUAGUCUCCUUUUAUGGAAAGGUUUGUUUAAUAUACAUGAAAGCUUAUAUAAUCCUGAAGAUUUGGAUCCUUACAGCCAAACAUGUUAUUAAAUAGGCUUUGUGUGGUGGUAAGUAAAAGUAUUUAUGAGAGACAGAGUUUUCCAGCUUUACGCAGAACAGAUAUUCUGAUGCUUGCCAGUAUCUUUAUGAACUGGUAGAAAAUCAAAGAAUAAAGUUCAAUGAGAUUAAAGUACAUGGAUUUACUUCCACUUUCUCAAGGGCAGAAAAUCCACAGUUCUGGAGCUAUUCAUCCCCGGGAUCAACUUUCUUUGAACACCCUCCACAGAUAGAAGGAUUAGAUCAUCUGUCAUGAAGAUGGUCCACUUAUAUCCAGGAAUGAGAGAAGAAUAUAUCUCAGUUAAGUAAAUUUGGACAUCCCUGCCUUCUAAGAAGAGCUGAAAUGCAGAAUUUAAAGGUGAGAGACUUAAUGUAUCCAUGUCUAAUGGUAUAAUGCAAAUGCAUUAUGAGUGCAUGUUCUCAUAGCUAUUUGUAUUCAUCUUAUAUAUUAUUUUAAAUUUCUAUCACUCAUAUGAUUUAACCAACUGAACAAGCAGCUGACCUGAAAUCUGUGUGACAACAGAAUAAUUUGAAGCAGAGCACUCUUUCUCUCUGUGGUCAGCCAUCCUCUCUUUUCACAAUGGAAUAUUUUGUUACAUCUUAGAGACAGACCUGACUCACCAGUUAACACUGCACAGCAAGGAUAGUGAAGAAAUCGUGGUAAGAUUGAGUUGUACAUGUUUUAUGUGAGAGAGCACUUACAUAAGUAAUUCCAUUUAUUUAAUUGUGCUACUGUGCGUAAUCUGUUAGCUUCUUAAAAUGGGUAGGUUUGGUAUUGUCAAUAAUCAGCUCAGCUGUAUUGCUUUGCAUCUGGACAGGAAAGCAUAAACCUUUGUGUCCAGAUCCAAAUUUUAUGAAGUUUGUAUAGCAUUUAUGCCAUAAAGUGUGUGUAUUUCAGACUAGUGGCACCUUCCUCUGCAAAAUGCAAGUGUAGAUGACUAGGAGAGGAGCUGCUUUUUUGGACUUUUUCAUCUGAAGAGUAAUAAUUGUUUUCUCUAACCCAGAAAUGGAGACCAUAAGGAAUUAUUCACAGUUUUUCUAGGAAUAUUGCCAAAGUACAGGAUCAAGCAUUAAAAAAAAAAAAGUAUUCUCUCUCUUUAAGUUUUCUUUUUCCUAUGGUUGACUUUCUAAGACUCUAAAAGCAAAUGUCUGAUAUUCCCAUGGCGAAAGAAUAUCCUCCUCCUGCAAACUCUUCAUCAUUCCAGUAACCCAUAGUCAUCAAUAGCCACCUUGAUUUUGAUGGGACGAGCAACAUCAGCAAGGAUGCUUUACCUAUCUGUCUUGCCCUGUCUGCACCUGCGCUCUCUGAUCACCUUGUACAUCUGUGCAGGGGAUGGACUGUUCAUUUCUGACCAUGUUUAUUCUUUUCAUGAUACCAUUUGGUCUGUAAGAGAAAAGUGAGCCUGUGAGUGAUGGCUUUUGAAAUCUCACCAAAGAUCAUUUAACAGAAAAUAUACUUUUAAAAUCUUAUAUAAAUGGAAUAAAAUAUCUUUUCCUGGCCUAGUAAUCUUGUGCUGCAUUCAGUUAACAGUCUUCAAUCUCUUGAUACAGUAUAAUAUGAAAAUUAAGUGGAGAGACCAGUGUUGACUCCAAGCCCCAUGCCAGUGAUUUUACUGAGCUGUAAAUAAGACCCAAUAGCAGAUAAUUUGUUGCAGAUAUAACACAAUGAACUGUUUUUCAAAUAUUCCUCUUCUCUGUUUUUUUCUUCUGGAUUUGGCAAUAAACUGCUGGUCCUUGA